rnacentral:rRNA from 1 species
UACGGAGGGGGCUAGCGUUGUUCGGAAUUACUGGGCGUAAAGCGCACGCAGGCGGAUUGAUAAGUCAGGGGUGAAAUCCCGGGGCUCAACCUCGGAAUUGCCUUUGAUACUGUCUGUCUUGAGUUCGGGAGAGGUUGGCGGAAUUCCUAGUGUAGAGGUGAAAUUCGUAGAUAUUAGGAAGAACACCAGUGGCGAAGGCGGCCAACUGGCCCGAUACUGACGCUCAUGUGCGAAAGCGUGGGGAGCAAACAGG